UUUAAGGAGCUGGCACACGCAAAAAAUAUAAAUCACUGCCGCCUCAACGUUUGGAAACAGAAAAAUAAUAAUUUUCAAUUGCAUUGGUGGGAAUGCGAGCUCUAAGGGAUUAUUAAACAAAGGCGGCGUUUCACCCUCGGUCUAAUUAGCCACAGCUUUUGCCAACAGUUACAGCCACAUUGAGCGAGGAUACAGCGUGCGCCACGUUCGGGAGCCGCCUCUGUUGCUGCAGGUGCGAUGCUGUCACUGGCGCCGAACGCUACGGAAUGUGCAGCGAAGACGCGUGUUGGACGUGACGUGACAUUUUCAAAACAACUCGCCGCACACCGCGUGCUCAUUGCACGCAGCUGGAACGAGCUCUGCUCGACCUCGCAUCUUCAAAGUUGCUGCAUUCAGACAACAUCAGCACGGCGCUGCCCGGGACUCGUUGAUUCCGGAUAAGCGGUGUGCGAGGUGGCCAUGCGGGCGGCACGGGGGACGGCGUCACGGCGCGCGUGCCCUCCCGCUCACCCGGCCGCACUCCACGCGAUGUGACCGUCCGCGGCAUCGUGCAGAGUGCAAGUUACAAGCAGGACCGUUUCCCACCACACUUGCUGUCUGCUGCGGCGACACCAGCUGGGCCCACCUGCUGCACAGAAGGCCGCAGGGGCGCCUCGGGAAAGUUGCGUGAAUGGCUCUCCGACUUUUCCUUCUGACCACGGCUCCAUCCUCAUCUGUGUACGUUCAGAGCUCGCAUUCCUCUACCCAGUCCGGUCAGAGUAAUUCUAUCAUCUCGGUUGAAUGUUGAUUUCUUUAGAACUGAUUUUUGUAUUUAGUUUUAUGCCCCCCCCCCCCGAACCUCCGAUUAGCGCAGUUGGCUACGUACGGUACGAACGAAGUUCAACAUAAUACACAGUGUGGCUUCCUGGGUGAACAACUAUUAAUAAUUGUUAUUAUUGUGAUGCUUUGUUGGCGAAAUGGCUUUGUCCACCCUUUGUCCCAAAAACACUGGCUUUGCUUGGUAGCACACAACGCUCGUAAUCAACAUUGUGGGGGAAUUUAAGCAACAAAAUAAAUCAUCAGACGUUGCACCUCCUCCACGUGUCUGUCCCUCCACCGACGGCCCACAACGCCCCUCCCUCAUUUCGUCACAAUGGACGAGGAGCGAGCGGCGCAUCGUCCCAGCGGCCUACGCAUUGGGGCUGUUUUCACUUUGGUCAUCUCCACCUACGCUGUCAAUUCUCCGACGUCCUCUUGCCUCCCCUCUCAUAGAAACUUUUUUCUGAAGCGCAGUCUCAAAGCCAUCGCGUCAGCGCCCGCAAACGCGUCCACACCGAAAGCGAACUGCAGGUCGCCGUCGACGGUGUUUUUUUUUCUGUGAAGAUACGAAAUCUCGUGUCGGUGCAGACAGACGCAGGCAGGAGCUGCCCGCAUGGCACUGAAGGGCACACGAACCGGAGUGCUGCUGUUUCUGUUGACAGCCGCCGAGAUGAAAGGGUUUCUCGUGGCUCUGGUGGCUUCCGAGUCCCGCACGAGGCGACGUUAAUGACCGUAUGACACCAUUAAUGCAAUUCAUGAUGCCUCCUACCCAAUUCGCGUCUUCACAAAACAUAUUUUUGGUCAAUUUUGUGUACGUGACCCGUUGGCCUUCUGGGAAGUGCAUUUCAUGAGCAGUAUUGGUUCAAAUGCAAGAGCAUUCAGAACCGGUUUCGACACUCGGUAUGUUGUCAGCGGUCAGGCUUGCUUGACCGUUUACAACAGCUUCCUGGUCAACUGUCCCGAUGCUUAUCGGCACGGACCAUUUCUGUACGUAAUGUUCUAAUUACCGAUCUGUUUUACGUAAUGCGGACUGCUCGAUAACAGUCGUUGUACCUGUGGCAAACAAAGCUGAACAAUUGCCUUUGCAGGCGAAUUUCCUGGGAAUGUUAAGACGUUGUCAAACAGAACCGCGCCCCUUGUCCUCAGCGCAUCCUAUUGUUGAUUUUAAGCCAAGGAGCGACUUGUAAAACCUAUUUUAUUAAGCAACGAUUUUGUCGAAGCCUUUUAAAGCAGACAUGCAACUGUAAAGGGGAUAAUAAAUAAUGUUGGACCUGCGCCAGUGUUUGACAAGUUGACGACAACCUGUCGACACGUGUUUGUGUUUGUCGUGGAUGACAUCUCGCUGUGAGUGUGGAAG